rnacentral:rRNA from 1 species
GACGAACGCUGGCGGCGUGCUUAACACAUGCAAGUCGUACGGUAAGGCCCUUUCGGGGGUACACGAGUGGCGAACGGGUGCGUAACACGUGAGUAACCUGCCCACAACUUUGGGAUAACGCUAGGAAACUGGUGCUAAUACUGGAUAUGUGCUCCUGCUGCAUGGUGGGGGUUGGAAAGCUCCGGCGGUUGUGGAUGGACUCGCGGCCUAUCAGCUUGUUGGUGGGGUAGUGGCCUACCAAGGCGGCGACGGGUAGCCGGCCUGAGAGGGUGACCGGCCACAUUGGGACUGGAAUAGGGCCCAGACCCCUACGGGGGGAAGCAGUGGGGAAAAUUGCAAAAGGGGCGCAAGCCUGAUGCAGCAACGCCGGGGGCGGGAGGACGGCCUUCGGGUUGUAAACCGCUUUCAGCAGGGACGAAGUUUUUGGGGAGGGUACCGGAAAAAGAAGCACCGGCUAACUACGU